rnacentral:rRNA from 1 species
UACGGAGGAUGCAAGCGUUAUCCGGAAUUAUUGGGCGUAAAGCGUCCGCAGGUGGCUGUGUAAGUCUGCUGUCAAAGAGCGAAGCUCAACUUCGUAAAGGCAGUGGAAACUACACGGCUAGAGUGCGUUCGGGGCAGAGGGAAUUCCUGGUGUAGCGGUGAAAUGCGUAGAGAUCAGGAAGAACACCGGUGGCGAAGGCGCUCUGCUAGGCCGCAACUGACACUGAGGGACGAAAGCUAGGGGAGCGAAUGGG